AUUUUUUUUUAAUAUCAUAUUUAUGUAGUUCCCACUCGUCAAUGCCUUUAAACAGAUUUUUUUUUUUUUUGCCACUGUCAGCAUAGUUGACAAGGUUAGGCUAGACUGCAACAAAUAACCUGUAUAAUAUGUACUCCCUUGUGGAUCGCUACAUCGUCUUGACAACGCAUUGAUGGAUGGUAUUACAUCAUUUAUGGAAAUUUAUUCCACGAGGGAACAUAUUUGACUAUACAUCAAGUAUUGUAUAUAUAAAUAUAUAUACACUGCAGCAAGAAUUUUACAGACAAGUUCACCUAAUGCACACAACAGUGCAAAACUACUGCACUGAAACAUACUCCCCAUUUAAAUCUCGGUGCAAAAUUUUUCUUCUUCGUGCAGUUCUUUCUCGACAAAUUCUCCUGAAUCUUGCAUUGUGCAAGUGUGUGGUUCAUGCACAAUGGAAGAAAGGAAGUCAUUCCCAGCCACUAUAUUUUGCUGGCUGCCUCGGAAAGCAAAUUGAAAUAAACCAAGGACUGCACCGAGGCGUUGGUAUGCGAGCGUCAACCGGGAAAUAAAAACAAGGCCGACAUACAAAUGAGCUGACAGGACCGGACAGAACUCGAGAAACUGAAUACGCAUUGACAACGAGACACGGGUGGGGAGGACAUGAUGGUUGACGGGAAACGGAUUUGUUAGCCACACGGGCGCAUCUAAUCAAAGAAAAAUUGGGGGGCCGUUCUGCCGGGGCUGUGAAGCAAUGCAUUGCACAGUAACUUCUUGCAGCCAUAGGAGGUCAGUGUGGCGACAUGAAUGUCAACGGACACAUCGAUGGGAAGAUCAACUCUGACAAAUGUUUCCACCAACCAACCAAUUCCAGAGCUCAUUUAGGAGGACAGUCCCACGGCAUGCAAGUACCUCUCAUGUCAUCACACUCGCAAGACAUUGUCUCUUGGAAUGCGCCGGGAAUCCACAUCUGUGAGCAGCAUGUAGACGUUUCCCUUGAUGGAUUCAGACUUCGAAAUGUCGUUAACGCAUGCUUGUGAAUUACACCGAGCGUUUUGAAGAGAAAUGUGCCAUUUCGCAGCAUGGCCAUGGCUGAGCGCAGGAGAUAUGUGGCGUGAUUCGCACACGCUGCGGCUUAUUCUGAAAGCGCAUUUUACGUGCUGGAGCUACAGUGUUGCGUUCCGCCAUUGCUGAUUUGACUGUGACCGGGUCAUUUUGCGCUGAGGAUAAAGAAUAUGUAACUGA